rnacentral:rRNA from 1 species
AACGAACGCUGGCGGCAGGCUUAACACAUGCAAGUCGAACGCGUGUAGCAAUACACGAGUGGCGCACGGGUGAGUAACGCGUGGAUAUCUGCCUCUUGGUUCGGAAUAACUCCGGGAAACUGGAGCUAAUACCGGAUGGUUCCUUCGGGAUAAAGAUUUAUCGCCAAAAGAUGAGUCCGCGUACGAUUAGCUAGUUGGUGAGGUAAUGGCUCACCAAGGCGACGAUCGUUAGCUGGUCUGAGAGGACGAUCAGCCACACUGGGACUGAGACACGGCCCAGCCUCCUACGGGAGGCAGCAGUGGGGAAUAUUGUACAAUGGGGGCAACCCUGAUCCAGCCAUGCCGCGUGAGUGAUGACGGCCUUCGGGUUGUAAAGCUCUUUUGGCGGGGAAGAUGAUGACGGUACCCGCAGAAUAAGCCCCGGAUAACUUCGUGCCAGCCGCCGCCGUAA